rnacentral:rRNA from 1 species
GAUGAACGCUGGCGGCGUGCCUAAUACAUGCAAGUCGAGCGAACAGACGAGGAGCUUGCUCCUCUGACGUUAGCGGCGGACGGGUGAGUAACACGUGGAUAACCUACCUAUAAGACUGGGAUAACUUCGGGAAACCGGAGCUAAUACCGGAUAAUAUAUUGAACCGCAUGGUUCAAUAAUGAAAGACGGUUUUGCUGUCACUUAUAGAUGGAUCCGCGCUGCAUUAGCUAGUUGGUAAGGUAACGGCUUACCAAGGCGACGAUGCGUAGCCGACCUGAGAGGGUGAUCGGCCACACUGGAACUGAGACACGGUCCAGACUCCUACGGGAGGCAGCAGUAGGGAAUCUUCCGCAAUGGGCGAAAGCCUGACGGAGCAACGCCGCGUGAGUGAUGAAGGUCUUCGGAUCGUAAAACUCUGUUAUUAGGGAAGAACAAAUGUGUAAGUAACUAUGCACGUCUUGACGGUACCUAAUCAGAAAGCCACGGCUAACUACGUG